rnacentral:misc_RNA from 1 species
GAUGAAGAACGUAGCGAAAUGCGAUAAGUAAUGCGAAUUGCAGAAUUCAGUGAAUCAUCGAAUCUUUGAACGCACAUUGCGCCCCCUGGUAUUCCGGGGGGCAUGCCUGUUCGAGCGUCAUUUCAACCCUCAAGCUCUGCUUGGUAUUGAGUCCAUGUCAGCAAUGGCAGGCUCCAAAAUCAGUGGCGGCGCCGCUGGGUCCUGAACGUAGUAAUAUCUCUCGUUACAGGUGCUCGGCGUGCUUCUGCCAAAACCCCAAUUUUUCUAUGGUUGACCUCGGAUCAGGUAGGGAUACCCGCUGAACUUAAGCAUAUCAAUAAGCGGAGGA